rnacentral:rRNA from 1 species
CUACGGGUGGCUGCAGUGGGGAAUAUUUCACAAUGGGGGAAACCCUGAUGCAGCGACGCCGCGUGAAGGAAGAAGUAUUUCGGUAUGUAAACUUCUAUCAGCAGGGAAGACAAUGACGGUACCUGACUAAGAAGCCCCGGCUAACUACGUUCCAGCAGCCGCGGUAAUACGUAGGGGGCAAGCGUUAUCCGGAUUUACUGGGUGUAAAGGGAGCGUAGGCGGUUUAGCAAGUCAGAAGUGAAAGCCCGGGGCUCAACUCCGGGACUGCUGUUGAAACUGUUGAACUAGAGUGCAGGAGAGGUAAGUGGAAUGCGUGGUGUAGCGGUGAAAUGCGUAGAUAUUAGGAGGAACACCAGUGGCGAAGGCGGCAUACUGGACUGUAAAUGACGCUGAGGCUCGAAAGCGUGGGGAGCGAACAGGAUUAGAUACCCGAGUAGUC